rnacentral:rRNA from 1 species
UGGGGAAUUUUGGGCAAUGGGCGAAAGCCUGACCCAGCAACGCCGCGUGAAGGAUGAAGUAUUUCGGUAUGUAAACUUCGAAAGAAUAGGAAGAAUAAAUGACGGUACUAUUUAUAAGGUCCGGCUAACUACGUGCCAGCAGCCGCGGUAAUACGUAGGGACCAAGCGUUGUUCGGAUUUACUGGGCGUAAAGCGCGUGUAGGCGGGUCGUUAAGUUGGGGGUGAAAUCCCGAGGCUCAACCUCGGAACUGCCUUCAAAACUGGCGACCUGGACUCAAGCAGAGGCAAGUGGAAUUGCGAGUGUAGAGGUGAAAUUCGUAGAUAUUCGCAGGAACACCAGUGGCGAAGGCGACUUGCUGGGCUUGUAGUGACGCUGAGACGCGAAAGCGUGGGGAGCAAACAGGAUUAGAUACCCAGGUAGUCCCUGAGCGGGCUGGCAAGGCGCAU